GCGCAGCGUCAGCGACAUCGACUAAAAGGAUUUCCGUGCUUUCAGCUCAUUUCAGUUCGUAUCGGUAUUCCAUACAAGACGGAACGGAACGGAASGCGAGCCACCAAAAACAUUUCAUGCAUAUAAGCAAUAUUCGCAUUGCUGCUGCACUCAACGCAAGUCGUGCUAUUUAAGAACCGUAACAUUGCUGCUCUCUCUGUGUGUGCGUGAGUGUGUGCGCCGCAUCAGUUUGCUGUUUGGCUUCUUUUAAUCAUUUGCCGCCUUUAUACACAUGUAUGUGUGUGUGUGUUUCUCCUCUGUUAUGGCCGCUGUUAUACACAACAUAUCUGUCAUUUGAUGGUGCAACAAAGUUCGUGUUAACGUACGUCGACAGACACAUACAAACAAAACACACGUAUCAUGUAUGUGUGUGCCGUUAAUUCUACUGCCGAAGAUUAAGAUGAAUCUGUGCGGUUCAUUAAGCCGCGAACUCUUCCUCGAAGUUAACCGCAAGACUUAGAUAAAUAUAUAUUUAAGUAAUAUGAUAAGUAGACCGAAUUGCAGCGUAGGCAAUAGACAAAACGGAGGCAGCGAGAGCAGGAAAAAGUAAGUG